rnacentral:rRNA from 1 species
GAUGAACGCUAGCGGCAGGCUUAACACAUGCAAGUCGAGGGGUAUGGUUCUUCGGAACCAGAGACCGGCGCACGGGUGCGUAACGCGUAUGCAAUCUACCUUUACAGAAGGAUAGCCCAGAGAAAUUUGGAUUAAUACCUCAUAGUAUAACAUGACCGCAUGGUCGAGUUAUUAAAGUCACGACGGUAAAAGAUGAGCAU